GAUCGAUCUCAACUAUGUGGAUGGGUUGAGAAGCUUGCAAGUUAAGCUUAUAUCGGAGAAGAACUCUGAUGUUUUGGAUAUUCUUGACCUUAGAUUGGUCAGUUCUAAUAAGAAGGCAAAAGAUGUCUAUAUGGAUAUUAGCUGUUUAUUUUGUAGCAAGUUUGGACAUUGGGAGUAUAAUUGUAAGAAUAAUCUUGCAAGUUUGAAGAGGGUACAAGUAUAGCACCAAAAAGUGUGUAUAUGAUACAAAUCUAUUUUUCAUUGAGUGGCUCAGACUCUGAUACAUAGAUAUUAGAUACUACCUGU
rnacentral:lncRNA from 1 species